AACGAACGCUGGCGGCAUGCCUAACACAUGCAAGUCGAACGAGACCUUCGGGUCUAGUGGCGCACGGGUGCGUAACGCGUGGGAACCUGCCCUUAGGUUCGGAAUAACUCCCCGAAAGGGGUGCUAAUACCGGAUAAUGUCUUCGGACCAAAGAUUUAUCGCCUUUGGAUGGGCCCGCGUUGGAUUAGCUAGUUGGUAGGGUAAAAGCCUACCAAGGCGACGAUCCAUAGCUGGUCUGAGAGGAUGAUCAGCCACACUGGGACUGAGACACGGCCCAGACUCCUACGGGAGGCAGCAGUGGGGAAUAUUGGACAAUGGGCGAAAGCCUGAUCCAGCAAUGCCGCGUGAGUGAUGAAGGCCUUAGGAUUGUAAAGCUCUUUUACCCGGGAUGAUAAUGACAGUACCGGGAGAAUAAGCUCCGGCUAACUACGUG
rnacentral:rRNA from 1 species